rnacentral:rRNA from 1 species
CCGUUAACAGUUGUUCUUGGCGCACCAACUGUGACUGCUCUUCUGCACCAAUGUAGGGAACAUAGGGGGACUCUUCUGAACCGCGACUGGAGACGGAGAUGCCUCGCUCGUCGGAUAGGCAAGGCAAGUAGGAGAUGUUGACGCUAAUCAACCCUAGCAGGUCCUCGUUUCAUUUCCUCUUCGGUCCUUUUGCUCGAAAGGCCUCUUUAGACUUAAGACCUACUAGUUGCGUCGGAUAGGAAAUUAGCCAGUUCGUCGCCGUUUCAUUUCUUCUUAGGUUUAGUGGUGAAUGGUCUAUCCUACCAGCUACGACACCCGUCGCACUUCGUCCAACAGAUCCAGCGCGAGUUCUAGUUCCUCCGCCGCCUGUGCCAAGCAGUAUUGUUCCUCCAGACGGUAGUCUAAUCUCCGGCGCACUUAUCUGAAGCACGAUAGGACAGCUUCGAGCUCCUACGAUUAUGGUACUUGCUAAGCCGCUGAUCGCUGUGAGUUCCUGGAGCUUCUCUGAGACGAAGCACGGAUGUCCGAACAGGUACGGACAGCUCCCUUCUUCUUGUAGCAAAGGGAAGAGAAGUGACGGCCCUUCGAGAGCUCUGUUGACGCGGUCCAGUUACCGCUAUAAAACCGAGUCUACCGCCAACGUUUAAAACCGUUGUUACAAGUCUGGCGGUAAUACGACUCAUUUGUAAAAGUUCUGGGGGGUUUCCUGGUUCUUGUUUACUCUGAAAGCAACAACAAAGCCCUCCUACGUCUCGUACGGUAUUUCAGCGGGCUGUUCAGUGAGUGCGUACUGAGAUCCAUCCAAGAGAGUUAUACGUAAAAGUAGUGGUAGGUAAAUUUCCAUGAAGUCACGCUCAGUAAAAGAGACUAUCAAAUAAAAUCUCAGAGAAUGGAGGAACUAGAUGCAUGUCAGUUAUAUGCGGCAUUUAUUUACUUCGUUUAAAGGAUAGAACGAGACAAACCCACUAAACCCACCACUCGUGACGGAACGUGUCGAAGGGCGGUAGUAGACCGCGGACAACGUUCGAGAACUACGAAAACAGGAACACUCUAAGUAACUGUUACGCCGACAGAUAUCGUCGUUCCCGCCGUCUCCUCAACGACGGCUCCCCCUUCACGUACGAACGCCCUGGACACCGAGACACGUUCCUCCGUGCGAGAGGGUAGAGGGGAAGAACUAAAACUAGGUCGACGCGGUAGUCACACACCACCCGGGGAACAGUUAACCUACUUACGGCCUACGCCGGGAAAUAUUCAACAGUUCUACGGUAAGUACCGAAAGCCAUCGUUACGGGAGAGUACAACUAACCAUCGCACUACCGGUGAGUACCUUACAAGUAAUGACGGUGUGAGCAAAAAAAAAGUCUAUCCACGGAGAUACACGGUACCCUCCAGUUACCCAUACCCACUGUUACCUGCACCAUGUACUAACUAUCUAGAUCCCGCAAACACCAACGUACAGUCAGUAGGUGUAACCACAUUCACCACUAGACCAGCAGUAACCAACCUAGUCUGUUCCUCCAUAACUCAACAACAGAGAGUCGCCUCCGCCUCAAAUACACGAGCGCGUGUUUACGCGAGCAUUAGACCCGCCAAGGAUAAUCCACCCCUAUGCUCGGUAAGUAACGCACCCGGUAGAGUUCCCCGUCUGCUUUAUAUCAUCCUUUUCGCUUUAUGUACGCGACACUUGGGACCUGACACCCGGUACAAACACUGCCUCUAUCUUGCGGCACCUGCCGAGGUUCGUCUCGGCACCGGGUACUGCCGUACAAGAAGGGCUAGGUACCGGGUACUUUGAACGAAAGGUCAAUGUCUGUCCCUACCACUCGAGUGAGUCCCAGCAGAGGAUGGAUGCGGCGGAACUAAUCAGUGAACGGCUUCGCCGCCUCGAGACGACGCUAAGAGCGCCCGCUGGCCCGCUUGCCUUGGCCACCUGCGGCUAAUUCUCCUGUCGGCACGAACUUGUCCGUUUACUGUCGCUAUAAGACUACGUCGGCGACGUGAUGGAUCACCGCGCCGGCCGACUCCUCGGCGACCGUCGAUACCACCUUCAUUCACGCCUGCCGGUCUAGGUACGCCGCCUUCCCCGUUACCUACGUGUUCUUCCCAGGUGUUCUCGCAGCCUCGUCAGUUAACCUAUCUGGCUGGGAUCUCGAGGACCGGCCUUUUCUUCCCACUCUCAUCCACGACGACAGGGUCAUUCCUACGGUACAGGAUUGGCCUGAUGACGAGACCUCUUCCGAUAGGUACCAAAACGGCUGUUAGAACCCCUGUUACAGUAUCACGGUUGAAACCCCUUUCCGCCCCAAACUGUUGUGAUACAGCACAGCAACGCUAACGGAACGAGAGUAGUACAACAACGACAGGUUUCUGUUACUAAUCAUGUAUCGUCUUCUGGGACUCCUCGUGUUGAUGCCUUCGACUAGGUUCCGUGUCCUCCAAGCGAAAGUCCCAGCUUAACGACUCUGCUGUCCCCACCUCUCCCCGCUGAGGUAACCGCCACUACCUCAACGACUACGCUGGGUACUCGUCUAAGGGGAAAGACCUCCUUAACCUACUCUCACGUUGGGGCUACCUUGGCCGUCGCAAGUGUCACCAAGCAAACCAUGGCCGACGGCUCGUUAGCCGCCCUGAUCGGUACUCGCGCCUGUUCGUCCAACACUCCUUCUGUACCGUUUUCCACACUCUACUUUCCGCAGCGGCGACCACAGGCUCUACAGGUGGCCCUUCUACUUCAAGGAUGUCAGGAUGUCCGUGGACCAACCCGAUUCUCCACACAAAGGGAUUUAGUUAGUUUAAUCAUACGUAACGACUUAUAAACAACAACUCGCUAAUCCUCACUACGACAGUAUGCACAUAACUGCAGGGGAACCCCAAGUCUUGUAAGUCUGUCCAUCAACUACGACAAGAAUUCAUCACAUGCCAAUACUUACCUACUACUAGAUAGGUCGAACCUCGUACAACAAUGAUUAAACUUCCAACGACAUGUUAACCAAUACUCAAUACUAAAUACCCCUCACUAAACAUCAAUCAAGUACAUACUCAGAACAACCUACGAACGAAGACUUAAAUCGACGCGUUACCUUAGC